UAAAUUGGAUUUUCAUUGUGUUCAAUGGUGUUAUUUGCCCCCUAGUGGCGCUUUCUGGUACUUAGAAAGACGACGCAAACAGGAAGUACAGAAUUAGUUUUGCACGCAAAGAAGCAGCUACAAACAACGCUAUGGUGCAGGUCUUUCGGUUAUUUCUUGUCACGCUUCAGCCUUGGAAAUAUUUGUUUUUUCACAACAUAAACGUUUUCAAUAUAUUCAUUCAAGAAAAGUCACGCCUUGGGAGUUUUAUUGAAGACUUAGUUGUUAGCUAUCUGUCUAGUUUUGCAUGGGAACGCAACUCAAGGGCAGAAUAAAAACAUUGUUUUAUUUGCUGCCUCUUGGGACUCCCCCACGGGCCUGGGCCCAAACGGCUGCCUACAAGCUGGCCUCAGGUCAGAAAUGGCUGCCUACAAACUUCCACUGGCUGCCCUCAGGACAGGAAGGUGGUCUAAUUUCCAUGCUUAUCAAGAGAACAUCCCUGGUCAU